GCGGGGGUACCCAAGUGGUCAAUGGCUUCGGCCAAAGGGGCUAGGUUUAGGGCCUAGUAGCUUAGUGCUUUCCUGGGUUCGAAUCCCAGCCCCCGCA
rnacentral:tRNA from 1 species